rnacentral:sRNA from 1 species
GUACGUCGCUACGUCCCGUCUCUAGCCCUGACGCUCCGCCGGUCCCGUUCUGCAGAAGAGCUUCUCCUCAUCAACUGGGGAUGAUUACAGUUCUUCCUUAAAAAGCCUACUUGAUGUGAAGACAAUGAGGAUGAAGACCUUUAUGGUGAUCCACUUCCACUUAAUAGAUGGCUGCUCUUUUUCUAAAGAGGUUAACACUACAAACUGUAAAGUCUGAAAAUAGUUGCAUUAGAUGUUUUGGUAAACACAUCCUGCAAAAGACAGCACCAGCACAGUUGUCCCCUAUUGCUUCUGCCCCAAGACUCUCCUUCCUAAUUCAUGCAAAAGCCUUUAGUACCGCUGAAGACACCCAGAAUGAAGGAAAAAAGACAAAAAAGAAUAAAACAGCUUUUAGUAACGUUGGAAGAAAAAUUAGUCAGCGAGUUAUUCACUUAUUUGAUGAGAAGGGCAAUGAUUUGGGAAACAUGCACCGAGCAAAUGUGAUUAGACUUAUGGAUGAGCGAGACCUGCGACUGGUUCAAAGGAACACCAGCACAGAACCUGCAGAGUAUCAGCUCAUGACAGGAUUGCAGAUCCUCCAGGAGCGGCAGAGGCUGAGGGAGAUGGAGAAGGCGAACCCCAAAACUGGACCAACCCUGAGAAAGGAACUGAUUUUGUCUUCAAAUAUUGGACAACAUGAUUUGGACACAAAGACUAAACAGAUUCAGCAGUGGAUUAAGAAAAAACACCUAGUCCAGAUUACCAUAAAGAAAGGAAAAAAUGUAGACGUGUCAGAAAAUGAAAUG